ACAAUUAUAAAAUCGUCCUCAAUGCUAUAUAUUUUAUAUAUAAAAAAAUAUUACAACCCAGGUGCUCACGCGCCUAGGCUGGAUUCCACUUUUUUUUAACACCCUAAAUGCAAACAUGCCUGAGCCCAGGAAAAAAAAAAUUGCAAACAUGAAAAAGUCUAAAUAGCCGACAAAUGCAAUGACAUGAUAUUUUUUUAACAAGAACCAAACAUCCACAUUUUGAAACAAGGAAAAUCACCCACAAAUUCCUAAAUGAACUUCAAAAAUGAUAAACAAUAGAGGGCAUCAAAGACUGGUUGCUGCCCUGUACAACACCUCGGGUUGAUAGUGAUACGACACGUCGUUCGAGUUGUCGAGGAGGUCGAGGACAGUGUUGUCGUCUCCGGUGGUCUUGAGGAUCUGGAAGAUGUGGUUGUCCACUAGCAGCAGCAAAUAUCACCAGUUCACAUCUUAAACACAAAUCAAUGACACAAAGCCCAACUUUAGCUGAAACCCAUAAAAUGUUUGAUGUUUAAUCGCACACAACAACAUGAAUCAUAUGAAAUUAUGUGUCUUUGUGUGCAUGUGAGCAAUUACCUUGUUCUGGUUGGAGUGAGUUGGAACAGAACAUGCUCACCAAAAAACUGCAGCAAACCAUAAACCCAGAAAUAUUUAUAAUAAAGAAAGAAAGUUUAGAAAAGGUAACAACUUUACUAGGCUUGACUCCUAACCUUUAGCUGAGGAAGAGAGAAGAGAAGGAGAGGGUUAGAUAUUUUCUAGGAUUGGAAAAGAUCCGUGUGUUUUUUAAACUAUUAUAAAAAAAUAUUUAAAAAAACACGUUUUUUUCCUUCUGAAAAAAAAAAAAA
rnacentral:lncRNA from 1 species